UGCGUUCGUGAGUCUGUGUGCAGUAGAAGAAGACAUUUCCUUACACUGAUGGUAUCAGAGUGCAAGCUGAUAAUUGCUCAGAAAGAAAACAAGUGACGUUGUUUUUCCAGCUGGUAGAGCAAAGAAGAAGGCUAAGUUCAGACGCCGUGGAACCCGUCAGAGAGUAACAAUGGUCACCAUCUCUGAACCGGACCCUGGACUCUCUGAGGAACAUGAGGACACGUCUUUGGACCGGGAGGAGACCAGGAAGAGAAGAUUUGAUCUAUGGUUGUCCAUCACUCUCAUUGUGAGCCUCGGACUGCUGAUUAUUCUCACGAUCUCCCUGCGCCUCAGCUGUCCCUCUCAGAAAAGGUGGACCUGAAGAAGUCACGCUUCUUCACGGUCCCUCACGACGGAGGCUCUGUCGAGACCUCGCCCGUCAGCUCCUCCACGUCCAGAGACAGGUGGGCGUGUCCCCCUAGAUGUGUAACGGAUAGAUGAGCAGCGUUUCCUACAGUCCGCUGGGUAGG